rnacentral:rRNA from 1 species
UACGAGGGCCUCAAGCGUUAUCCGGAAUUAUUGGGCGUAAAGCGUCCGCAGGUGGCACUUCAAGUCUGCUGUCAAAGACCGGGGCUUAACCCUGGAAAGGCAGUGGAAACUGAAGCGCUAGAGUGUGGCAGGGGUAGAGGGAAUUCCCGGUGUAGCGGUGAAAUGCGUAGAGAUCGGGAAGAACAUCGGUGGCGAAAGCGCUCUACUGGGCCAUAACUGACACUCAGGGACGAAAGCUAGGGGAGCGAAUGGG